CUUGGUAUUGCGCGUUUCUCUUCUUUGCUGACCCUCCGAAUGGCCAUGGACUCGUUGCUUCAGGCCCGCCUGUUUCCCGGUCUCGCUAUCAAUAUCCAACGCAGUAAUGGUUUAAUUCACAGUGCCAAUGUAAGGACUGUGAACUUGGAGAAAUCCUGUGUUUCAGUGGAAUGGGCAGAAGGAGGUGCCACAAAGGGCAAAGAGAUUGAUUUUGAUGAUGUGGCUGCAAUAAACCCAGAACUCUUACAGCUUCUUCCCUUACAUCCGAAGGACAAUCUGCCCUUGCAGGAAAAUGUAACAAUCCAGAAACAAAAACGGAGAUCUGUCAACUCCAAAAUUCCUGCUCCAAAAGAAAGUCUUCGAAGCCGCUCCACUCGCAUGUCCACUGUCUCAGAGCUUCGCGUCACGGCUCAGGAGAAUGACAUGGAGGUGGAGCUGCCUGCAGCUGCAAACUCCCGCAAGCAGUUUUCAGUUCCUCCUGCCCCCCCUAGGCCUUCCUGCCCUGCAGUGGCUGAAAUGCCAUUGAGGAUGGUCAGCGAGGAGAUGGAAGAGCAAGUCCAUUCCAUCCGAGGCAGCUCUUCUGCAAACCCUGUGAACUCAGGUAGGCACACUGAGCUGUCUGCUGUUCUGCUUCUAGUGAGGCACAGAUAGUUAACAUCCUGUCCUAAACCUGGCCUACCUUGGCACCUGAGUU
rnacentral:lncRNA from 1 species